AUGAACGCUAGCUACAGGCUUAACACAUGCAAGUCGAGGGGCAGCAUGAACUUAGCUUGCUAAGUUUGAUGGCGACCGGCGCACGGGUGAGUAACACGUAUCCAACCUGCCGAUGACUCGGGGAUAGCCUUUCGAAAGAAAGAUUAAUACCCGAUGGCAUAGUUCUUCCGCAUGGUAGAACUAUUAAAGAAUUUCGGUCAUCGAUGGGGAUGCGUUCCAUUAGGUUGUUGGCGGGGUAACGGCCCACCAAGCCUUCGAUGGAUAGGGGUUCUGAGAGGAAGGUCCCCCACAUUGGAACUGAGACACGGUCCAAACUCCUACGGGAGGCAGCAGUGAGGAAUAUUGGUCAAUGGACGAGAGUCUGAACCAGCCAAGUAGCGUGAAGGAUGACUGCCCUAUGGGUUGUAAACUUCUUUUAUACGGGAAUAAAGUGAGGCACGCGUGCCUUUUUGUAUGUACCGUAUGAAUAAGGAUCGGCUAACUCCGUGCCAGCAGCCGCGGUAAUACGGAGGAUCCGAGCGUUAUCCGGAUUUAUUGGGUUUAAAGGGAGCGUAGGCGGACGCUUAAGUCAGUUGUGAAAGUUUGCGGCUCAACCGUAAAAUUGCAGUUGAUACUGGGUGUCUUGAGUACAGUAGAGGCAGGCGGAAUUCGUGGUGUAGCGGUGAAAUGCUUAGAUAUCACGAAGAACUCCGAUUGCGAAGGCAGCCUGCUGGACUGUAACUGACGCUGAUGCUCGAAAGUGUGGGUAUCAAACAGGAUUAGAUACCCUGGUAGUCCAUGCCGUAAACGAUGAUUACUAGGUGUGGGGGGUCUGACCCCCUCCGUGCCGCAGUUAACACAAUAAGUAAUCCACCUGGGGAGUACGGCCGCAAGGUUGAAACUCAAAGGAAUUGACGGGGGCCCGCACAAGCGGAGGAACAUGUGGUUUAAUUCGAUGAUACGCGAGGAACCUUACCCGGGCUUGAAUUGCAACUGAAUGAUGUGGAGACAUGUCAGCCGCAAGGCAGUUGUGAAGGUGCUGCAUGGUUGUCGUCAGCUCGUGCCGUGAGGUGUCGGCUUAAGUGCCAUAACGAGCGCAACCCUUAUCGAUAGUUACCAUCAGGUUAUGCUGGGGACUCUGUCGAGACUGCCGUCGUAAGAUGUGAGGAAGGUGGGGAUGACGUCAAAUCAGCACGGCCCUUACGUCCGGGGCUACACACGUGUUACAAUGGGGGGUACAGAAGGCAGCUACACGGCGACGUGAUGCUAAUCCCGAAAGCCUCUCUCAGUUCGGAUUGGAGUCUGCAACCCGACUCCAUGAAGCUGGAUUCGCUAGUAAUCGCGCAUCAGCCACGGCGCGGUGAAUACGUUCCCGGGCCUUGUACACACCGCCCGUCAAGCCAUGAAAGCCGGGGGUACCUGAAGUGCGUAACCGCAAGGAGCGCCCUAGGGUAAAACUGGUGAUUGGGGCU
rnacentral:rRNA from 1 species